AUGCAAGUCGAGGGGUAACAGGGUGCUUGCACCGCUGACGACCGGCGCACGGGUGCGUAACGCGUAUACAAUCUACCUUAUAGAGGGGGAUAGCCCAGAGAAAUUUGGAUUAAUACCCCAUAGUAUUAUGAAAUAGCAUUAUUUUAUAAUUAAACAUUUAUGGCUAUAAGAUGAGUAUGCGUUCUAUUAGUUAGUAGGUAAGGUAACGGCUUACCUAGACUUCGAUAGAUAGGGGUCCUGAGAGGGAGAUCCCACACACUGGUACUGAGACACGGACCAGACUCCUACGGGAGGCAGCAGUGAGGAAUAUUGGACAAUGGGCGAGAGCCUGAUCCAGCCAUGCCGCGUGCAGGAAGACGGCCCUAUGGGUUGUAAACUGCUUUUACAGAGGAAGAAACACUCCCUUGCGAGGGAGCUUGACGGUACCCUGCGAAUAAGGAUCGGCUAACUCCGUGCCAGCAGCCGCGGUAAUACGGAGGAUCCAAGCGUUAUCCGGAAUCAUUGGGUUUAAAGGGUCCGUAGGCGGGACAAUCAGUCAGCGGUGAAAGUCUGCGGCUCAACCAUAGAAUUGCCAUUGAUACUGUUGUUCUUGAAUACUUAUGAAGUGGUUGGAAUAUGUAGUGUAGCGGUGAAAUGCAUAGAUAUUACAUAGAACACCGAUUGCGAAGGCAGAUCACUAAUAAUUUAUUGACGCUGAUGGACGAAAGCGUAGGUAGCGAACAGGAUUAGAUACCCUGGUAGUCUACGCCGUAAACGAUGGUUACUAGCUGUUCGGGAGCAAUCCUGAGUGGCUAAGCGAAAGUGAUAAGUAACCCACCUGGGGAGUACGUUCGCAAGAAUGAAACUCAAAGGAAUUGACGGGGGCCCGCACAAGCGGUGGAGCAUGUGGUUUAAUUCGAUGAUACGCGAGGAACCUUACCAGGGCUUAAAUGUAGUUUGACCGAUUUGGAAACAGAUCUUUCGCAAGACAAAUUACAAGGUGCUGCAUGGUUGUCGUCAGCUCGUGCCGUGAGGUGUCAGGUUAAGUCCUAUAACGAGCGCAACCCCUGUUGUUAGUUGCCAUCGAGUAAUGUCGGGAACUCUAACAAGACUGCCAGUGCAAACUGUGAGGAAGGUGGGGAUGACGUCAAAUCAUCACGGCCCUUACGUCCUGGGCCACACACGUGCUACAAUGGUAGGGACAGAGAGCAGCCACUGCGCAAGCAGGAGCGAAUCUAUAAACCCUAUCUCAGUUCGGAUCGGAGUCUGCAACUCGACUCCGUGAAGCUGGAAUCGCUAGUAAUCGCAUAUCAGCCAUGAUGCGGUGAAUACGUUCCCGGGCCUUGUACACACCGCCCGUCAAGCCAUGGAAGCUGGAAGCACCUGAAGUCCGUCACCGCAAGGAG
rnacentral:rRNA from 1 species